UACGGAGGGUGCAAGCGUUAUCCGGAUUCACUGGGUUUAAAGGGUGCGUAGGUGGGUCUGUAAGUCAGUGGUGAAAUUCUCCGAGCUUAACUCGGAAACUGCCAUUGAUACUAUAGAUCUUGAAUCAUCUGGAGGUAAGCGGAAUAUGUCAUGUAGCGGUGAAAUGCUUAGAUAUGACAUAGAACACCAAUUGCGAAGGCAGCUUACUACGGGUGCAUUGACACUGAGGCACGAAAGCGUGGGGAUCAAACAGGA
rnacentral:rRNA from 1 species